rnacentral:rRNA from 1 species
CCUACGGGUGACAGCAGUGGGGAAUCUUGCACAAUGGGGGAAACCCUGAUGCAGCGACGCCGCGUGAGUGAAGAAGUACUUCGUUAUGUAAAGCUCUAUCAUCAGGGAAGAAAAUGACGGUACCUGAGUAGGAAGCCCCGGCUAACUACGUGCCAGCAGCCGCGGUAAUACGUAGGAGGCGAGCGUUAUCCGGAGUGACUGGGUGUAAAGGGAGCAGUGACGGCAAUGCAAGGCUGGAGUGAAAGGCGGGGCUCAACCCCCAGACUGCUAUUGAAACUGUAAGGCUGGAGUGCAGGAGAGGUAAGUGGAAUUCCUAGUGUAGCGGUGAAAUGCGUAGAUAUUAGGAGGAACACCAGUGGCGAAGGCGGCUUACUGGACUGUAACUGACGUUGAGGCUCGAAAGCGUGGGGAGCAAACAGGAUUAGAUACCCGGGUAGUC